rnacentral:rRNA from 1 species
AUGUACUUCCUCGCUUGUCAGGUGAUCAUUGACUCCACUGCUUCCUAGUAUGGUCCUUAUCAUGACAUAGCCCUAGUCUUUGCCGAGUAUGCCAAGAAGUUCCCUGGCGCCAUCUUCCUGAAGGUGGACGUUGACAAGCUAAAGGAUGUCGCUGAAGCAUACAACAUCGAGGCAAUGCCAACUUCCUUGUUUGCAAAGGGUGGUGAGAAGGUGGACAAUGUUGUUGGUGGUAGGAAGGAUGACAUGCAUACCAAUAUAGUGGCCCUCAUGGGUUGUGCAUCCGCCUAA